AACAGGAUUAGAUACCCUGGUAGUCCACGCCGUAAACUAUGGAUGCUAGCUGUAAGAAGUAUCGACCCUUCUUGUAGCGAAGCUAACGCGUUAAGCAUCCCGCCUGUGGAGUACGGUCGCAAGACUAAAACAUAAAGGAAUUGACGGGGACCCGCACAAGCGGUGGAGCGUGUUGUUUAAUUCGAUGGUAAGCGAAGAACCUUACCCAGGCUUGACAUCCUGUGAAGGUCUCCGAAAGGAGACUGUGCCUUCGGGAAUACAGUGACAGGUGAUGCAUGGCCGUCGUCAGCUCGUGUCGUGAGAUGUUUGGUUAAGUCCAUCAACGAGCGCAACCCUUGUAGUUAGUUGUAUUUUUCUAGCUAGACUGCCCUGGUAACAGGGAGGAAGGGGGGGAUGAUGUCAGGUCAGUAUUUCCCUUACGUCUGGGGCUACAAACACGCUACAAUGGCCGGUACAAAGGGCAGCCAAAGCGCAAGCUGGAGCAAAUCCCAUCAAAGCCGGUCCCAGUUCGGAUAGCAGGCUGAAACUCGCCUGCUUGAAGAUGGAAUCGCUAGUAACGGUAGGUCAGCACACUACCGUGAAUACGUUCCCGGGUCUUGUACACACCGCCCGUCAAACCAUGAAAGUCGCCAAUACCUGACGUGUUAGCUUUGCCUAGCCCUAAGGUAGGGGAGAUGAUUGGGGGUUAAGUCGUAACAAGGUAACC
rnacentral:rRNA from 1 species